rnacentral:rRNA from 1 species
GGGUAGAGCACUGGAUGGUGUGUAUAGGGCGAAAGCUCAGCAUACCAAUCAAACUCCGAAUACCAUAAGAUUUAAAUAGACUAGUCAGACUGUGGGGGCGAAGCUCCAUAGUCAAAAGGAAAAAAGUCCAGAUCGCAGUCUAAGGUCCCCAAAUUUUGGUUAAGUGCAUUAAAGGUGGUGAUUCACCAUAGACAGUUAGGAGGUUGGCUUAGAGGUAGCCAUCCUUUAAAGAAAGUGUAACAACUCACUAUUUGAACUUCUUCUUUUUAAGAGGAAGGUGGAGGGUUGCGCCGAAAAUUUACCGGGGCUAAAACCAAAUACCGAAGACGCGGAAAUUAUUGUUUUUUCAAUAAUUUAGUAGGGGAGCGUUUCUUAAGCACUGAAGCUUUGAUGUGAAUCAAGGUGGAGUUUAAGGAAGUGAGAAUGUCGGCAUGAGUAACCACAAUCCUGAUGGGAAAUCAGGACCCCGUAAACCCAAGGUUUCUUUGGCAAUGACAAUCAGCCAAAGGUUAGGCGAUCCUAAGGCAAUGGUAAUACCGUAGCUGAUGGACAGCCGGUUAAUAUUCCGGCCCCUGAACAUUUUUGCGAAGGAAGGACGGAGGACAUAAGAAAGAGCGCAUUAGUGGUUUUGCGUUGGAAAUAUCAAGCUUUGUUUAUCAGGCAAAUCCGGUAAACUGAGUUAAAUCUCAAAGAGCGCAUAUUUUCAAAAGGUUAAGUUUUACUUGGCCGAUUCUUUUGAAGAGCCUUCCAAGAAAAGUUUCUAAGCUAUAAAAGUGUUCAGUUCGUACCGUAAACCGACACAGGUGGGUGAGGCGAGUAGCCUCAGGGGAACGGGUGAUUCCUCGUUAAGGAACUCGGCAAUCAAGCGGGCGUAACUUUGGGAUAAGCCCUCCCUUCUUUUCUGGUUUUACUAGGAAAGAAGGGCGCAGCGAAAGAUUCCCUGGCGACUGUUUACCAAAAACACAGGUCCCUGCGAAACCGCAAGGUGAUGUAUAGGGGCUGAUGCCUGUCCGAUGCCAGAAGGUCAAGAGUGUCGGUUGUUCUGAUUUAUCAGGACAGCUGAAUGCUUGAAGCCCUGGUCAAUGACAGCCGUAACUAUAACGGUUCUAAGGUUAGGAAAAGCUAGCUUUAGUAAAAUUCGGCUAUAUGCUGGAAAAUCUGGUGUAUCCAAAACUACUAUGGUGUAAUCUAACCAUAGAGAUAUGGUUGGUGUUACAUCAAGUGACAAUGUUUUUGGUGCAGACAAUCAGCAGGAAAGACUUAAAAUUUUAUUUUAAGAAUCCUCAGAGACUAUACGCCGAACCAAAUAUUAUAUAUUUGGAAGAUAUAGUCCGAACUCUAUGGCGACAUAGAGAGAUAAAUUUAAUAAUUUAAAUUUAUCCUUCCUUUAUGGAAGUAACAUAGUUGAGCGUAAUUCCUUGUCGGGUAAGUUCCGACGUGCACGAAAGGUAUAACGACUGGGGAGCUGUCUCAACGAGGAGCCCGGUGAAAAUGCGUGUCCAGUGAAGACGCUGGGUACCCGCAGCAAGACGAAAAGACCCUAGGAGCUUUACUACAGCUUGGUAUUGGGUCUAUUUUUAAAAUGCGUAGCGUAGCAGGGAGACUUUGAAAUUCUGAUCUCGGUCAGAAUGGAGUCGCCAAUGAAACACCUGUCUUUUUGAAAAUAGAUUCUAACCUUAAUGGAAAAAACUUUAAGGGACAGUGCCUGGUGGGUAGUUUUCGUGGGGCGCGAUCCUCCUAAAGAGUAACGGAGGAGUCUAUCAAGGUUGGCUAUCCACCGAUGGAAAUGGUGGAGGUAGUGUAAAGGCAAAAGCCAGCUUUAUAGUGAGGGAGACAUUCCAAACUAUUGCGAAAGCAGAGCUUAGUGACCCGAUACGCCGUUGUAGAAGGCGUAGAGACUUCGGAUAAAAGUUACCCUAGGGAUAACAGGCUGGUGGAGCCCGAAAGUUCAUAUCGACGGCUCCGUUCGGCACCUCGAUGUCGGCUCACCCUAUCCUGGAGCUGAAGCUGGUUCCAAGGGUUUGGCUGUUCGCCAAUUAAAAGGGUACGCGAGCUGGGUUCAGACCGUCAAUUUGGCGGCCUAGAAGAGUAAUCUUCUAAGGAAAAAGUUGACUCAUAUAGAUGAAAUCCUAUUACAUAAUUGUAUUUUAACCUGUCGUGUGGUAGGGCAAUAUCUAGGGAAGUUUAACUUUUUUACAUUAAAAAAGUUAUAACCCCUUAGAGACUUCUCUGGUUUUAUGCCAGAGGGAUGGAAGAGAUUUUCUUUUCCAUAAUACGUCAACCGCCUAAUAAAUAUUAGGAUGAUGGUAUAGUCCAUACAUAAAGUAAUUUAUGAUUCUAUGCGUGAGACAGGUUGGUCUCUAUCUGCUGUGGGCGUUCGAUACUUUAGGGGAGCUGAUCGCAGUACGAGAGGACCCGAUUGGACGAACCUCUGGUGUACCGGUUGUCCUACCAAGGGCAUUGCCGGGUAGCUAAGUUCGGAAGGGAUAAGUGCUGAAAGCAGCUAAGCACGAAGCCCACCCCAAGAUUAGGUAUCGUG